UAUGCCCUACGGGAGGCAGCAGUGAGGAAUAUUGGUCAAUGGUCGGGAGACUGAACCAGCCAAGCCGCGUGAGGGAGGAAGGUACAGAGUAUCGUAAACCUCUUUUGUCAGGAGACAAAGACUGGGACGCGUCCCCGGAUGAGUGUACCUGAAGAAAAAGCAUCGGCUAACUCCGUGCCAGCAGCCGCGGUAAUACGGAGGAUGCGAGCGUUGUCCGGAUUUAUUGGGUUUAAAGGGUGCGUAGGCGGGUUAUCAAGUCAGCGGUAAAAUCGUGGAGCUCAACUCCAUCCAGCCGUUGAAACUGG
rnacentral:rRNA from 1 species